UUGAGCGAUUUACUUCGGUAAAGAGCGGCGGACGGGUGAGUAACGCGUGGGUAACCUACCCUGUACACACGGAUAACAUACCGAAAGGUAUGCUAAUACGGGAUAAUAUAUUUGAGAGGCAUCUCUUGAAUACAAAAGGGGAGCAAAUACAGAAGGGACCGGCGUCCGCUUAGCUAGUUGGUAAGGUAACGGCUUACCAAGGCGACGAUCAGUAGCCGACCUGAGAGGGUGAUCGGCCACAUGGGAACUGAGACAGGGUCCAAACUCCAACGGGAGGCAGCAGUGGGGAAUAUUGCACAAUGGGCGAAAGCCUGAUGCAGCCACGCCGCGUGAGUGAUGAAGGCCUUCGGGUCGUAAAACUCUGUCCUCAAGGAAGAUAAUGACGGUACUUGAGGAGGAAGCCCCGGCUAACUACGUGCCAGCAGCCGCGGUAAUACGUAGGGGGCUAGCGUUAUCCGGAUUUACUGGGCGUAAAGGGUGCGUAGGCGGUCUUUCAAGUCAGGAGUGAAAGGCUACGGCUCAACCGUAGUAAGC
rnacentral:rRNA from 1 species